rnacentral:lncRNA from 10 species
CGCUAUAUUAAGAUUGUCAGAGAUGGUAACCUUCUUCAUCCGCCCUUCCUGUGUUCACUAGCUCACUCCUAGUGUGAAAAGAGAAACUCCACAUCUUGCAGAAAGCAAAAUGAAGACUGAGGGGCAAUGCAAUGUGGUUGGAACACAUAGCAGUAGUCACUGACGCAGUAGACUUACCUUGGGCCAGAAAAACUGCAAACAAGAUCAGAUGAUCGCUGAAGGUAGAAGAAAUGCCAUACACAUACAAGAUUUGAUAACCUGUAAAAGCUUUCAGAUACAAGUGUGCAUCACCCACAACACUAACUUCAGAUGAGGAGAGCAAACUUCCUAAGAGCUGCUUGUACAUUUUCUCAUUUCUCAUUGUGAAGAAAAAAGUGGAAGUAGCCAGAGAAACUCAGAGACCUUCAACUGAGAAACUUCUGAAGCUCAAAGCGAGAAAACUUUUCCUCCUUAUCCAUCCUCAGAUUCUCUACUGAAAUUGACCUUCUACAGGUCCCAGUUUGGAAAAAGACAAAACAAAACAAAACAAAACAAAACAAAAUUGAAAAAAAAAACUAGCAUCUUUUGCCAUGAGUCCCUAGAUGGCUGCUAAAUUCAACUGGAUCCCAUGGCACCAUGAAAAUGUACUCAAACAUCUCUAUUAUGAACUUGGAAAAAUAAACAAUAUUAGAAGACUUGAAUUUUUGUGCCACCUCUGUCAUAAAUCAUGUUGUACCCAGCAAACCACCUAAAACUUUUCUGAUAUGCAAAAGGGAAAUAAUAAUAUUUACUCUGCCAAUAUGGAAAGACUAUUGGGAUGAGAUUAUGAAAUACUCUGUGAAAAUCUUGGUAAUGAAGGCAAAAUUAUUUAAUUUAAUUUAAGGCAGCAAGCAUCUACCAAGCACCUAUCAGCUCUCAUCUACAAUGCACGGAAGAGACGAAAUGGACAUGAACAUGAUGAAUCUUACCCUUGUGGAAAUUUUGAAGAAUGAAUUGAAUGAAAGUAGAAUAUAGUCUGAAGUUCAAUCUAGAGAUUCAUUUGGUUCAUAGGGAAAAAACAAUGAGAAAAGAAAUGAGGGAAGAAAAUGGCACUGUGUGUUUCUGGAACUUGAAAUGAUGCAGCAUUGCAGUUUGAAGAUAGAUUGGUAGGCAGAAGCAAAUAUGACUGAGUUUAUGGUACAUAAAGAAACAUUGUAAAAGAUUGUCAUUCAUUUAUUCAUUCAACAAAUAUUUAUUGAGUGCCUGUCAUGACCCCGGACUAUACUAGUUGGUCAAUAAACAAAGGUGAAAUAAAAAUAUCUACUCCUCUACCUCCUUGUAUUCAUAUCUAGGGUUGGAGACCUUGGAUCUGAUUAAAUAGGAAAUUCGAAAGAUGUAGUUCAGGCCAGAUGUGGUGACUCAUGCCUGUAAUCCCAGAACUUUGGGAGGUCAAGGCAGGAGGAUUGCUUGAGCCCAGGAGAUUGAAACUACCCUGGGC